rnacentral:tRNA from 1 species
UGGGGAGUAGCCAAGUGGUAAGGCAGUGGAAUUUGGCUCCAUGAUCAUAGGUUCGAUCCCUAUCUCCCCAA